GCAUCAGUGGGGUAGUGGUAACCUGGGUCGUUGCCACCUGUCGAUUUCGUAAGUGAAUUCGACCCGCCGGGGGUUCGAUUCCCCCCUGAUGCA